UGUUGAGGAAUGGAACAUGCUGUGAAAGCCGGAACUAGUGGGGAGGCUUCAGCAGAUCUAGGAGCCCAUUUAGCUAUCACACAUUCUCAAGAGGCUCUGGGCUCUGGUACUAUAAAGAUGGAGAAAACAGUGAGAAGUGAAAAUAAGGACGAGCCCCCAAAAGCCUGCAUACAGAGGGGUUGGACCCACCCCAACCUACAGAUUGUAGGCAGUCCAGGUGAAAAACAGAAGGCUCUUCCCUAAAAAAAAAAAAAAUGGAAUGAACAAUCUGGGAAAACCCACAGCUUCUAGUAUGGCUUCUACAACCCCAGAAUAAAGCCUCUCUUCAUUCCAGCCCUUAAGGGGCCUGAAUUCUAACACAUCUAUUCCCCCAAAACCAGAACUCACUCUAAAUUCCCACUCAGGGAGAGAUAUAUUGGGAGGAGGGACAGAAAAGAAACUCCAUUUACACAACAAAUCACUAUCCCAUCUGCGUAAACUGAAUAAUGCAUCCCUUUCCCAAAAUGUUACCUUAUAUGUGAAAAGGGACUCAGCAAAUAUGAUUAAAUCAAUGAUUUUGAGAUGGGAAAUUCCCCUGAAUUAUGUUGUAGGCCCAAGGUAAUCGUAAUCAUGAGGGUCCAUAUCACAGCGAGGCCAGGAAUGACAGGGUCAGAAAGAAGGCAUUGUGACAAUGACAGCACCAAGAGGACAGGUGACAUGACAUAGGGCUGCAAGCAGGAAUGCUGUGGGCCUGUAGAGGCUGGAAAGUCAAGGAAACAUACUUUUUUCCCCUGGAACCUCCAGAAGGAGCCAAGGCUUCCAACAACUUCAUUUUAGUUUUUGAACCCCACUUGGGAGAACACUGCUCUAAAUAAUUACUAAGUGGGAUAAUAAGUGUAACAAGUGGAAUAUUAAAGUGGAGGAAUGGUAGAGGCAUUGCAGAUGGCAGCACAGACAGUAUAAACCACAAACUGGAGAUCACUGGCCAAGCGGACCCAGUCCGAACUUCUCAACAUGAAAUUUCUGGAAUAAUGCUCACCUAAGAUUAACAGCAGUCGUUUCCGGAAGCAAUGUUCCAGAUAGUUCAUUCUAAAAACGACUCAAGAUGACAUGACAUGGGUCAGAGCUGCAGUCAAUCCUCAAAGGACACGUGACAUAAGUAUGAAAUAAGCCUUUUUUGUUCUAAGCCACUGAGGUUUAGGAUCAUGUUUACCAAAGCAAAACCAAGCUAAAAAUUAAUGGUAAUCUUAAGUAUUCUGGGAAUAAGCAGAAAUAUAUUUUUAAAAGAAGAAAAUAAAACUUUGUAUUACUAAGUAAGAGGCAGAGCACUGACGACAAAAUCUCAACUCCUUACACAAACCGGUCCUAACCUCCCUCUUUCCCUUCAUCUCCUACAGCAGGAACCUUUCUCCCCAUACUCUGGCUAACCUGGUCUUCAUCAUCAUUUAUUUUCCUUGAACACUUCCAGCUUGCUCUCUUCU
rnacentral:lncRNA from 1 species